AUUAAACAAGAUAAGAGUUUUUGGUGGAUGCCUUGGGUCUGGAAGUCGAUGAAGGACGUGAUUACCUGCGAUAAGCCUCGGUUAGCUGGAAAUAAGCUGUUAUCCGGGGAUUUCCGAAUGGGGAAACCUAAUUGAGCUCAUACUCAAUUAUCAUAUCGAUGAAUCAAUAGUCGAAUGAAGAGACACGCUGUGAAUUGAAACAUCUCAGUAGCAGCAGGAAAAGAAAAUAAAGAAUGAUUCCCUAAGUAGUGGCGAGCGAAAGGGGACAUAGCCCAAACCAACACACGUUGUUGGGGUUGUAGGACUACAUUAUAGAGUUAUAAAAAAUUUACAUAUAGCAGAAUAAGUUGGAAUGCUUAAACAUAGAGGGUGAAAUUCCCGUAAGCGAAAUGUGUAGAUCUCUUUGUAGUAUCCUGAGUAGGGCGGGGCACGUGAAACCCUGUCUGAAUUUGCCAGGACCACCUGGUAAGGCUAAAUACUAACCAGACACCGAUAGUGAACUAGUACCGUGAGGGAAAGGUGAAAAGAACCCCGAGAGGGGAGUGAAAUAGAUCCUGAAACCAAUUACUUACAGUUAGUCAGAGCCCGUUAAUGGGUGAUGGCGUACAUCUUGCAGAAUGGACCGGCGAGUUAUGUCAACAUGCAAGGUUAAGUGGAAUAAAGCGAAGCCGUAGAGAAAUCGAGUCUGAAUAGGGCGCAAAAUUAGUAUGUUGAUAUAGACCCGAAACCAGGUGAUCUACCCAUGAGCAGGUUGAAACUUAGGUAACACUAAGUGGAGGACCGAACCGUAGUACGCUAAAAAGUGCCCGGAUGACUUGUGGGUAGGGGUGAAAUUCCAAUCGAACUUGGAGAUAGCUGGUUCUCUCCGAAAUAGCUUUAGGGCUAGCGUGUAGUGUUAAGUGAUGGGGGUAGAGCACUGAAUAUGGAAUGGCGGCGCCUAGCUGUACUGACUAUAAUCAAACUCCGAAUACUAUCAUGAAUUACUAUGCAGUCGGUACAUCGGUGAUAACGUCGAUGCACGCGAGGGGAACAACCCAGAUCGUCAGCUAAGGUCCCAAAAUUGUGUUAAGUGAGAAAGGUUGUGGAGUUUCUUAAACAGCUAGGAUGUUGGCUUAGAAGCAGCCAUCGUUUAAAGAGUGCGUAAUAGCUCACUAGUCGAGAGACUCUGUGCCGAUAAUUCAACGGGACUAAAACACAAUACCGAAGCUACGGGCAUGAAAAUGCGUUAGGAGAGCGUUGUAAGGGCAUUGAAGCCAGACCGUGAGGACUGGUGGAGCGCUUACAAGUGAGAAUGCCGGUAUGAGUAACGAUUCAGAGUGAGAAUCUCUGACGCCUAUUGGGGAAGGUUUCCUGGGCAAGGUUCGUCCACCCAGGGUUAGUCGGGUCCUAAGACGAGGCCGAAAGGCGUAGCCGAUGGACAACAGGUUAAUAUUCCUGUACUUUUUAUAAAUGUGAUGGAGUGACGGGGGAGGAUAGUUUUACCACUUAUUGGAUUGUGGGGUAAACAGUGACUGGGUUAUGUAGGCAAAUCCGCAUAACUUAACUGGGAGCUGUGAUGCAUAGUGAAAGGGCAACCAAGUAGCGAAUUAAAUGAUUCCAUACCUCUUAAAAAAGCUUCUAACGUUAAGUUUAUAGAAACCCGUACCGAGAACGGACACACGUCCCCAAGAUGAGUAUUCUAAGGCGAGCGAGAAAACCAAUGUCAAGGAACUCUGCAAAUUCAUCCCGUAAGUUCGCAAGAAGGGAUGCCCAUUGUAACAAAUGGGCCGCAGUGAAUAGUAAGGGGGAACUGUUUAUCAAAAACACAGCUCUAUGCUAAGUCGUAAGACGAUGUAUAUGGGGUGACUCCUGCCCAGUGCCCGAAGGUUAAGCAAAGGUGUUAGCAAUUGCGAAGCAUUGAUGUGAAGCCCGGGUGAACGGCGGCCGUAACUAUAACGGUCCUAAGGUAGCGAAAUUCCUUGUCGGCUAAAUACUGA
rnacentral:rRNA from 2 species